rnacentral:rRNA from 1 species
UACGUAGGCAGCAAGCGUUGUUCGGAGUUACUGGGCGUAAAGGGUGUGUAGGCGGUUGCUUAAGUUUGGUGUGAAAUCUCCCGGCUCAACUGGGAGGGUGCGCCGAAUACUGAGUGACUCGAGUGCGGGAGAGGAAAGUGGAAUUCCAGGUGUAGCGGUGAAAUGCGUAGAUAUCUGGAGGAACACCGGUGGUGUAGACGGCUUUCUGGACCGUAACUGACGCUGAGACACGAAAGCGUGGGGAGCAAACAGG